UACGUAGGGGGCAGGCGUUGUCCGGAAUCAUUGGGCGUAAAGAGCGCGUAGGCGGUCCGGUAAGUCCGCUGUGAAAGUCAAGGGCUCAACCCUUGAAUGCCGGUGGAUACUGUCGGGCUAGAGUCCGGAAGAGGCGAGUGGAAUUCCUGGUGUAGCGGUGAAAUGCGCAGAUAUCAGGAGGAACACCUAUUGCGAAGGCAGCUCGCUGGGACGUAACUGACGCUGAGACGCGAAAGCGUGGGGAGCAAACAGG
rnacentral:rRNA from 1 species